rnacentral:rRNA from 1 species
CUGACCUGCCCAAUGAGGAAUUCAAUGGCCGCAGUAUUUUAACUGUGCUAAGGUAGCAUAAUCAUUUGUCUUUUAAUUGAGGGCUGGAAUGAAAGGUUGGACGAGAUAUUAGCUUUCUUUAGUUUAAUUUUAAGAAUUUAAUUUUUGAGUUAAAAAGCUUAAAUUUAUUUGUUGGACGAGAAGACCCUAUAGAUCUUUAUAAUUUUAUAUUUUGAUAAUUUAGUGAUUUUAUUUAUUGUAAGUAGAGGAAUUAUUUUGUUGGGGUGACUGUAGAAUUUUAUUAACUUCUAUUAUUUUUAUUUCAUUGAUUGGUGUUUUUUUGAUCCAUAUAUUUAUGAU